rnacentral:rRNA from 1 species
AUGACUCAACCAAACCUUACCUACAUACCACUUGUCUUGGCAACACACAAGAACUGUGUCACCGCCACGAGCAUGCCCUCGUCUUCCUCUCGCCACUCCUCCUCAAAACCCCUCAUCUCUACAAAUUCAAGCAAAGCCGCAGCCUUCCAACUCACCACCGCCCACCAAGCCUCUCACAACCGCCAGCGCAGCAUGGGUGACGCGGCCAUCGCCGUCAUGGAGGAGGAGGGGGAGCAGGAGCACAUCUUUCGGAGCAGGUUCCCGCCAGUGGCCGUGCCGGAUGGCGUCACCGUGCCGGACUUCGUGCUGGCGGGCGCAGAGGCCUACGCCGACAAGGUCGCCCUUGUGGAGGCCGCUCCCGGCGGCCGGUCCUACACCUACGGCGAGGUGGCCCGUGACGUCGCGCGGUUCGCCAGGGCUCUGCGAUCCGUGGGCAUCCGGAAGGGCCACGUCGUGGUGGUCGCGCUCCCGAACCUCGCCGUCUACCCCGUGGUGUCCCUCGGUGUGAUGGCCGCCGGGGCGGUCUUCUCCGGCGUGAACCCCCGCUCCCUCGCCGCCGAGAUCAGGAAACAGGUGGAGGACUCCGAGGCCAGGCUUGUGGUCGCCAACGAGGUCGCUUACGACAAGGUGAAGGACGUGGGCGUGCCGGUCAUCGGUAUCGGCGAACAGGGGCUCAUGGCCGGCGCGAUAAGCUGGGACGAGCUCCUCGCCGCGGCGGACCGCACCGGUCCGCCGGUGGUUCCGCUGGAACCGGUGCAGCAGUCCGACCUGUGCGCGCUGCCGUACUCGUCCGGCACAACCGGGGUCUCCAAAGGCGUGAUGCUGAGCCACCGCAACCUGGUGUCCAACCUCUGCUCGUCGAUGUUCGCCGUCGGGACGGAGCUGCUGGGGCAGGUGGUGACGCUGGGGCUCAUGCCGUUCUUCCACAUCUACGGCAUCACCGGCAUCUGCUGCGCGACUCUGCGGCACAAGGGCACGGUGGUGGUGAUGGACCGGUUCGACCUGCGGACGUUCCUGGGCGCGCUGGUUGCGCACCGGGUGAUGUUCGCGCCCUUGGUGCCGCCGGUGAUGCUGGCCAUGGUCAAGAACCCCAUCGCCGACGAGUUCGACCUAUCCGGACUGGCCCUCAAGUCCGUGAUGACCGCGGCGGCGCCGCUCGCACCGGACCUCCUGGCGGCCUUCCAGAGGAAGUUCCCCGGCGUGCAGGUGGAGGAGGCGUACGGGCUGACCGAGCACAGCUGCAUCACGCUGACGCACGCCGGCGACGACCCGGAGAAGGGGCACAUCGCCAAGAGGAACUCGGUGGGAUUCAUCCUGCCCAACCUGGAGGUGAAGUUCGUGGACCCCGACACCGGGCGGUCCCUGGCAAAGAACACGCCGGGGGAGCUGUGCGUCCGGAGCCAGUGCGUGAUGCAGGGCUACUACAGGAAGAAAGAGGAGACGGAGCGCACCAUCGACGCCAAGGGCUGGCUGCACACCGGGGACAUCGGCUACAUCGACGACGACGGCGACGUCUUCAUCGUCGACCGGAUCAAGGAGCUCAUCAAGUACAAGGGUUUUCAGGUUGCUCCUGCGGAGCUGGAGGCCAUACUCCUGUCCCAUCCUUCCGUCGAAGAUGCAGCCGUCUUCGGACUGCCGGACGAGGAGGCUGGUGAGAUCCCGGUAUCGUGCGUGGUGCGGCGGAGUGGCGCGGCGGAGAGCGAGGCAGACAUCAUGGCGUACGUGGCGUCGCGCGUGGCCUCGUACAAGAAGCUCCGGAUGCUGCACCUCGUGGACGCCAUCCCCAAGUCGGUUUCCGGCAAGAUCCUGCGGAGGCAACUCAGGGACGAGUUCAUCAACAUGAUCAAACCAGCAGCUGCUUAA